UAAAUGAAAAUGGGGCAAAAUUCCUUAUUUACUUCGCCUAUAAAAGAAGGCUGACUUCCUUUUCAGUCAUUAUUUUCAAAGCAGUUGCAAUAGAAAUUUACAUACUAUACUUUGUUUUAUUCUCUCGUUCGGUGGAGUGACACAUGGCGGAUGCUUAUUGGAGGUACAGUGGCGGUGGGCAGCACGCGCCGCCGGCGGGGGUGGCUCUUCCACCUCUUCUCGCAAAACGUCCUCGCACCGAAUUUGAUGCUCCAAGUGGUCCUGCGUAUCCUGGCUAUUAUGGACGUGAUGAUGAAAGGGGAAUGCCUCGAGUCACCGGAGGCGCAGAUCCUAUCGAAACAUCCUAUGAGCGCUACCUCCGUAGUGGGCCAAUUUCCUCCCAUGUUGCCAGUGAGCCGGCACGAUCCAUGAAUAGUGGAAUUAGUGGACAUUCUGUUGAAGAUCCACGUGUUAUGGGCAUUCGGGGAUCUGACCCGCUAGCUUUAAAAAGCAGGAAUGCUGGAAUGGUAGGUGGCAGACCAGAAGUUAGCCUUCCUCCGGAUGCUAGCAGUACAUUGUUUGUAGAGGGUUUGCCUGCGGAUUGUACAAGAAGAGAGGUGUCACAUAUAUUCCGCCCUUUUGUAGGUUACAAAGAAGUGAGACUGGUACCAAAAGGAUCAAGACAUGCUGGAGGCGAUCCUUUGAUUCUUUGCUUUGUUGAUUUUGCGAGUCCACUUCAUGCAGCUGCUGCAAUGGAUGCCUUACAAGGUCUAGAGGAGAGUUAUUCAUGAUCGACUUAGAAGAAGAUUUGGCCAUGGAGACAGCAGUGGAGUGCCAAGAACUUUGAUCCAACAAAUGCUGUGCUUUCACAGAAUGGGGCUUACUGGGAUCGAUUCUUCUCUCUUGCUCUCUUUUUCUAUAGAGAGCAUCUGGUGAUUGAAAAAUGGACGUUGGGUGUAACUCAACUUCAAAAGCUAGUUCAACAGGUGAGAAUCGCCGUAAACCAUACAAGAAGACCAAAUGACCACAUCCCCAACGAUGUGAGAUAUCCAAACAUAUGAUUGAUAACUUUUGGCUGGGAUAAUAUCUUCCUGAAGCACCAGCAGGGUGAGCCAGGAGAGAUGACAUUUUAGUUCCUUAUUCAGGAUCUACACGUAAAAGAGAAGGGACCCAAGGGCCUAAGGGUGGCAUAACUUGAAAUGUUCUUCCUCAUAGCCUCUAAUUGCAGCUUUGCAUACUACAUUUUUCCUGGUCAUUUUCUUUCAAAUGUUGAUCACAUUUCUUGGAUUUGUUAAUUCUGUCCUGUUUCAGCAAGGGUUCUAGGGUUUUGGAUAUUUGACUGGUUAUCAAUUGCAUUCUACCAGCAAGUCGUCUGGAUGGUUUCAUACUUGUAAAAUUGUAAUGUAUGUGUCCAUCCUUGUAAUAUAGAACUCUACAGCCAAAAAUUUCUCAACUUCUUUGGUAGUAUCUUAA